CUCAGGAAGCCCAGCACCACCAGAACGGUGCCAUAGAUAGCCAGAAAAGGGGCGGACAUCAUGGCGUAGCGGCGUCGGUCUCGCAUCAUCCAAAUUAUACAAGACCACACCAGCAGGGCAAACGUCAGCCAGUUGUUGUUACCUCCUGCUUAUCUCCUGAGAUGUAGAUGACCCUGGAGAAGCUUGGAGGAGCCUCUGGACUUUCUGCUGGACUUUCAGACUCCUCACCAUCAACAGUAUCCUGAGAAACACAACUGCAAUUAAGAGUUUGUCAUACAUCUUCUGGUGGCACAAGCUGCUGGGACAGGGGCAGCUGGUAGAGGUAUAGAGCCAGCAGGUGUCCUCCACUGAAGAUGGCCAUCAUCACACACAAGGAGCUGAAGAGUAGCAGGCUGAUGGAGCGGCUGAACACCCACCACCAAACCAGCCCGAGAAACACCCCAAAAUAUACACCUGAGUCUAACAGAUGGAAGGCUGCUCCUCAACUCCUCAAAGAUUUUGACUGAUUUGGCCUCAAGCUCUAAGGAGAGCACCAGG